CCUACGGGUGGCUGCAGUGGGGAAUAUUGGGCAAUGGGCGCAAGCCUGACCCAGCAACGCCGCGUGAAGGAAGAAGGCUUUCGGGUUGUAAACUUCUUUUCUGAGGGACGAAGAAAGUGACGGUACCUCAGGAAUAAGCCACGGCUAACUACGUGCCAGCAGCCGCGGUAAGCAGUAGGUGGCAAGCGUUAUCCGGAUUUAUUGGGGGUAAAGGGCGUGUAGGCGGGAAAGCAAGUCAGAUGUGAAAACUCAGGGCUCAACCCUUAGCCUGCAUUUGAAAAGGUUUUUCUUGAGUGCUGGAGAGGCAAUCGGAAUUCCUGGGUUAGCGGUGACAUGCGUAGAUAUACGGAGGAACACCAGUGGCGAAGGCGGAUUGCUGGACAGUAACUGACGCUGAGGCGCGAAAGCGUGGGGAGCAAACAGGAUUAGAUACCCCAGUAGUC
rnacentral:rRNA from 1 species